rnacentral:hammerhead_ribozyme from 1 species
AUCCAGCUGACGAGUCUCAAAUAGAACUAAAUGUUGGUUGUCUUGGAU